UACGAGAGGCCCAAACGUUAUUCGGAUUUACUGGGCUUAAAGAGUUCGUAGGCGGUGCAGAAAGUGGGGUGUGAAAGCCCUCGGCUCAACCGAGGAAUUGCGCUCCAAACUACUGUACUCGAGGAAGCUAGAGGUGAGCAGAACAGAUGGUGGAGCGGUGAAAUGCGUUGAUAUUGCUCGGAAGGCCAGAGCCGAAGGGGCCCUACUGGUGCGUAACUGACACUGAGGCACGAAAGCGUGGGGAGCAAACAGG
rnacentral:rRNA from 1 species